UUUGGUGUAUUCAACCCGUGAUCCUUUUAGUGGAGAAGGCGGGUGGGUGGGCGAGAGGGAAGGGCCGGGGCGUCGCCCCCGACGCAGACGAGACCGCCGGCGGCCUUGCAGGGGCUUGCGGUGGCGCGGUGGACGAGGAACUACCGGAUCUCGACGGAUCCGGUGGGGAAUGGAGCGGGGGCGGCGAAUCGGGAAGGAAGGCGGCCGGAGCUUGGAGCACGACGGCUGGCCGGCGCGCCAUGGCGUCGGGUACCUGCGAGAGAAGAGAGAGACAAGUGGGAGAGAAAAGGGAGGACGGGAGGAAGGAGAUGGAAGGCCGGAGGGAGAAAGAAGAGAGCGGUGAGGUGCGGCAGCGGUCCUGCUGCUGCUGCUGCUCGCUGGUGGCUCACCGACCAUCGGCGCUAGGUGGGGCUCGGGUGCGUGGAGGCGUCGGGGAUCGAGGGAGCUCUCCUCAAUCGCGGUUGGAGGCACUCGGGGUCGAGCAAGGGAGCGACGUUCCGUCGUCGCCUUGGUCGGCCUUCGUCCGUUCCCCUCGUGUGCCUUAUCCCCUCAGGUCACACGUAAGCUACAUCCCCUCUCACUUCCCCAUUAAUUUGCUACCUUUGAUUAGAUUUCUCUGGUUGAAAUUGGAGCCUCAUCUAGUUUAGUGUUGAUCUGAGCUACACACUAGCGAUUAUUUCUGCGCAUGGUUGUAUUCAAAGGAGAUUUUGGAUGGAUGCGGGUGCUGCUGCUGGAUGCAGUUGUUGGAAUUGUACAGGAAUUCAGUGGAUAAUGUGUCAGAAAGUUAGACAAUUUAGCUAUGGAUAUUUUCAAUAUUUAGCAACCUGCUUUGGGGUCUCAGUGUUCUGCAGAUAAAUUUCUGAUGCCUUGCACUUCUAGGAGUUGUGGUUUAUCUAUGCAAACAUGAACCUUAUAUAACUAAUUGGUGUUCCGUUGAUGUGUCCAAAUGACCCUGAAAUAUAAAAUUGAAUUGUGUAAGUGAAUUGAUGAUGAUACAUGCUUCAGUUUCUGAAUAUUGGGAAGCAAUCUUCAUGACAUUUCCAUGUGAAUCUUUUGAAAUCCACUUUUGGGUGACUCAUUUUUUAUUAUAAUGAAUUUAAAUUCACAUUUCAAUUACUUAUGAACAAAGCUGGUGCAUAUAUUGAAGGAGGCUCAACAUUGAUGGUUACACCCUGCCGAGAUUUGUGAGAACUGCCCACUUUUUCUUUUAUGGGUGUAGCAUCUGCAGGCUUACAAGCAAUCAUUAAUUUUGUUAAGCAACAGAAUGCUACAGUUAUGUACAGAGUUACAGGCGAGGGGCGAUGAGAGUUGGUUUAUGUUGGUAUUCAACUUGGUUUGGUACAUCUAUAUAAAGCUCACAUGUAUUCCACUACAUUUGUCUUAAAAGUGUAUCCGUGUAGAUUUUCAGUUCAAAGGUUUGCAUUAAGUCUAUUUUCACUCCAUGCAGAUGAUACAUUUCUUAUCACCCAAUGCACUGUUUAGGGGAUCCUUCUAAUCUGGCAUGCUUUUUGGUCUGCCCUGCUUUACGUAGUUCAUGUUGACUCCUUAAUUCUUCAGUGAUAAUGAGCUAUUCAUGGAUCUAGCAACUGACUGUAUUUGCUUUGUCCCGAGAUGAUGGAUACUUUUUUGUCAUGAGAUCAUGGAUACUUGAAUGUCCUUUGUUGACCACAUACAGUUUCUGAUUGUUUUCGUACGUUUAUGCCUCUUCUGAGCUUGUGGAACCCAUUUAUUUUCCCAAAGAUAACUUGUGCCUGCUAAGUCUUGGGAUCCAUUUUUUUGUUCCUAUGUGACCAAUCCGUAGAAGAAUGCAUGCUCCUGAGCCAUAGAAGAAAUCAGUAGGUGGACAAAGUUGAGGGCCCGAGGUAGCAAUAGUUCUUCAAAGGCAUUGGACAAUAAUUGAUUGGUCGAAGGUAUCAUUUUCUGUCGAACUUCAAUUGACAGGGAAGAAAUUCUUUCUAUAUGUGCCUUUGGUUUUCUUUCGCUUAGGGAGUUCAUACAGUUCUUUUUUCAGGGCAAGAGAUUCUUCAGCUAGAUAACAAAGAUCACUUUAAUUAAUUAGACCAGAAGUUGCUUUUACCAUUGAGCUUCAGUUGACAGGGAAAAAAUUGUUUAUGUCUAUGCCUUUGGUUUUCUUUUACUUAGGGAGUUUGUAUAGUUUUUUUCAGGGGGAGAGAUUCUUCAGCUAGAUGAGAAAGAGCACUCUGAUUAAUUAGAUCAGAAGUUGCGUGUGAUGAUGAUUGCUCCUGCAGACUACAAUGGCACCAACCACCAGGCGAGGUCGUCAGUGAGGCGCCAUUGGUGGACAUGAGAAUCAUUUUGAGGAAACAGUGAACAAAAAAGUUGGGGCAUCCAUUCCUGAGUAAUCAGCUGGGAGAAGCCCAGAAAAAUCUGACAGGAGUGGUGACACUAGCAGCAGCAUGCCUGAUACAAGACCCCUGAAUAGUGAUUGGAGCAUUAAAGCCAUGGUGGUAUUCAUUUUUUGCAGCCGUUGGAUGAUGUAUCAUAAAACAGAAUUUCACUUCGGAUAGCUGCAUGUGUACAUAUGUGGUGGAGGAACUCAACAAUUUCCAGUAAAAGCAAACGUUUUUGCAGUCAAAGGUAACCUUUGCUACAUCUGCUAUUGAAUAUAUGUUGGGGAGGACAGUAGCAGUUUUCAGAUGUUUGUGUGUUAAAUCCAUUGUAGGCUUUCCAUCUGUGCAUUAUUCAUAAUCUUAAUGGGCUUCAAUUUUAUGCUGCAUGAUCCAGAUAAAUUUAUUGGUUAUUUAAAAUAUCGACAGAUAUUUUCUAUAUCUGGAAGGAUGGGCCACAUUGAACUCACUAAUUCUUUUACAAGCGCACAUGAAUUGGUAAUACAGGCCGGUCAUGUUUUCCAACUUUCCCUUCUUCUCCUGAUGUUCCCAUGUACUACUUGCCAAGGAUCAAGUGCCUCUAACGUUAUACAUGUGUACGUAUAUCGAAUGAUAUACUUUUUACUAGGGAUUUCUUUAUCGAGUGUUUAACAUGCUUUAGUUAGUUUGCAUGGCAUUUCCACUAUGCUUAGAACAACAUUGUGAAGGUACGUGUUAUUCUACCUCUUGGGCUGUAAUGCUCCAUUCAUUCAAUGUUUUAGGUUGUGCUUCUCGAUGAUCAGAUAUUUAUGGCAUGGUGGAUGAUGCUUCAUGGUGAUCAUGGUGCCAUGGUGGUGGUGUGCAUGGCAUCGAUGGUACUUCAUGCAUGCAUGGUUGCUUUCUUUGCAACAGAUAUGCAGCGCUGCCUUUUCGCUUCUUCUCUAUUUUAUAUGUCUAAUUGUUCCAGGGGUCUAACAGCAGGCAGUAUAUUUCACGGGAUUUCUAUAUCAGUAGUUUGGUGAUCAAACUUUUUCAUGCACCUAUAAUUAUGCAUUGGCCUUCUCGAUAUAGUUGGAAUGCUACAUCCAUUUAUUAUAUCAUAUUGCCAUGAGUUAUAACCGUGUCUUCAUGUUUGUCCUAUUUUACUUACCUUCCUAUGUUUUCUUGAGAAACUUCAUGCCUGCGAAGCUGUGGUGACUUGAUGACAGGAGAAGUGGUCAGGAUUGAGCCAUCGGACAAGAGAUGACCGCCGUCGAUUGCCAACAAAUUUUUGUAUGCCGCAGUGAGCGGGAUGGGUUCAAUAUCUUCAGAUGCUCUGCGCUGCACCGGCUAUAUUUGAUAUGAGUCCACAUGCAAAAUAAAGGCAUCACACGUUCUGGGUUGCUUAGCUAUGUGUUUUUUUUCGUGAUUGGAUUAUAUGCUACUCGGUGUUGAAGGGUUUGUUCAUGUCAAAGUUAACAAAUCUUGUGAUGUUACCAGAGAUUGCCCAUUUACUCAUUCUGCAUGGGAUGGUCAGGGUUUGAUUAUUUUUGUCAGCAGACUUUCAUUCAGAAAAUAACCCAAUGGCGCUCGCAUGUUCUCUUUACUUAUGUACCUACACAAUAGUGCUUUAUUAAUUUUGUUGUGCAAAUAAUCAGUCGUUGUGUUUAUGAGAAAUGAUAAUGACUCGCACCACUACCAUCCUAUA